CAUUUUAUUUUUUCUAAUGUAGAUGAGCUUAUUCCUUUUUGCAGAACUACCCACUGACUGAUUAACUAAGGGCAGUGUACCAUGAUGUUAGAAGAGGAGCCAUGUGGCUACUCACAGUUCCUGGGGUGCUGCAGUCUGUAUAGUCCAGCCGUUCCCACCCCUGUCCUGGCUCUGUUUGGAAAGAGUAUUUAUGAAAUAUAAAUAAGGUGGAAGGACGGCCGUCACUGUGCUGGGCUGGUCCCUGUGGGAGAGAGAAACAGAAGGUGGAGUCUAAUAAACGUCAUCUUACAAAGGGGGAGAGAGGUUCACGGAGUUAUUUGUUUACUAACCCAUAUAUAGACUUCACUAACACACACACAUUGUACCUACUUGUUUAUCUACUUGUUUACCAACACACACAAACCUUUUAUUAUCAUAACCAAAAAAAAUCUAGCCAUUGGACCCAUAGGCUGUUGUUGAACUACAAACUACAGAACCCACUUACAGCUGAAUAACUUCAAUAUCUAUUAUUGGGCAGCAUUGAUAUAUGUGCCGCUGUCUCCAUCUUGUCCUUGUGAUAAAACAAACUUUUAAUCUGGAGUGGAGCAGAUAGCGCAAGCAGAGGCAGAUUUGGAGGAAGGAUACUAUGCACUGCAGAGCACCAUGCACCAAUCAGGUUGUCUAUGUUCCCAGAAAUGCCAAGGACUCUAUGGUUUCUUACCUGGGAGAACUUCUCAGCAUUCCUGUCUGGAGAUGUGACAUGGGACCAUGUACUAGGUUGGUAGAAAGCUAUGGACAAACACAAGAUCUUUAUCUUCUAUGGGGACAUGAUCAAGAUUAGAAAGCUGAGUAGUCUGAUAAUAAGGAAAUGUCAUGGAGACAUCUAAAAUAGAACAUUUGUCCUCAUUUAUUGUAACCCAAUGUGCGAGAUUCAAAAAGUCAAGAAGUUCCUUGGGAAAGACUUAUCUAAUGAGGUUCUUGUGAAGAUCAAGGAUUACACUUCCUUCUGUCAGGUAUUGCUGGGAUUCGAGCAAGGGACCUUUGGGUUUCUGGCAUGAUACCUUAACCAUUUGGCCAGGUGAGCAACCUGUAGGAUUGCUCGCUAUAUGUUACAUGGCCUCGGUAGCCCCAGCCCAGCUGCAGCCUGAUUGGCCUCUCCAGCCCCAGCCCAGCUGCUGCC